GGGGGUGAAAAGGGUUCGACGAGGAUGUAGAAGGUUUAAGCUGCAUGCCGGGGAUUCCUAUCUCCUCGUGAAAAAGAUAGGACAAAACAAGUGCCAAUGAUUAUGGCUAUGCCCUGGCUGCUUAAUUAAGACAGCCAGCGUCUGCCCAGUCCGGCCUGCAGGACUGAGGACAGGCGUCGGUAAAGCAGGCUAGCUAUUAAAUGGUGCCCAUAACAUUUAAUAGCGAAACUUUAAAUGGGCUAGCUUUUGUCCUUUUUGUUCGGAAAAAGGGCAAAGGCGAAUAUGGGAAUCCGGACUAAGCAUGUAGAUGCUUAAACUUAGCAUCCUCGGACGCGGGUUCGAUUCCCGCCACCUCCACCA
rfam:Candidatus Desulfofervidus auxilii strain HS1 genome.